UGAUUAACGGGAGUAUGUUAGGGUGAUCUUAGGAAAAUCUUAGGUAUAAAAGUGAUUAAAUUUAAUGCAUUUUCUCCUUUUAUACUAAGGAACGUUCCUUAACUAAAGAACAAAAUAAGUCUUAAGAAACGUUCACAUGGCGCGUUGUGAAUGGGUAAUCCAAGAAAUAUAUUUAGACAAAAAAAAACACACGCGUUUUAUUUUUUUUCUGUUUGUUCUCUCUCUCUCUCGCAAAAACGGAGAAAUCGGAACCGAAGAAGCUUGCCGUAAAGUCAACCCAAAUCGGAGUAAUCGGCUCUGUUUUCUUCCUCUGGCCGUCGUUGCCGCGUUACCUCAUCAUCCCCACCGACGGUGGUUGUCGAGGGAUCUCUCUGUUCACAUAAUCGGCGAAUCGGGGCGUACGAAAUCAGGGCUAAAUUCAGGAGACUGUCGAUUUUUGAUUCGAAAUCGGUGAGAAUCUGUUUGUCAAGGCAAACAGCGAGCAUGUACAAGAAUGCUAAGAAGAAGAUUGAGAGAGAUGUUGCUUUCCCUACAUGCAUUUCUGUGAUUCAUUUCUCACCGCUUGCCAGUGAUGAGUCUGUGUUGGAAGAUGGUGAUAUGGUUAAAAUAACACUGAUGUAACUGAAGCUAUUCAGAAGGUGGCUGCAGCUUAUGACUGCAAAAUUGUUGAAGGUGGCUGCAGCUUAAUCGUCCAACCCAUUAUCCAGAACCCCAAGAUUUCUGAGCUUGGUAUCUAUCCUGCUGUGGAUCCUUUGGUAUAAUCAUAUGAUUUUGAAACAUUUUGCUGGUUUGUUGGAUGGCAAGUACGAUGAUCUUUCCGAACAAUCGUUUUACAUGGUUGGAGGUAUCGAUGAGGUGGUUGCAAAGGCAGAGAAGAUCGCUAAAGAGUCAGCAGCUUAAGGGAUUGAUUCAGCUCUUUCAUGCUUAAUACUUCUCUUAGAGCUGGCAAGAUGAUACUGAACAGAUCCAUUCACUGUUACUCAAAUUUUUUGUUGUUUUGCUUCCUUUGUUGAAAUAAAGAUUAAAAAUCUUGCAGAUUCUAAUUGCAAUGUAUGUUUAAGAAUUUUUGAUGUCAGUCUUUUUGUUAUUUUGUUUCAAAGAAA